rnacentral:rRNA from 2 species
UAGACCGCCUGGGGAGUACGGCCGCAAGGUUAAAACUCAAAUGAAUUGACGGGGGCCCGCACAAGCGGUGGAGCAUGUGGUUUAAUUCGAUGCAACGCGAAGAACCUUACCUGGUCUUGACAUCCACAGAACUUUCCAGAGAUGGACUGGUGCCUUCGGGAACUGUGAGACAGGUGCUGCAUGGCUGUCGUCAGCUCGUGUUGUGAAAUGUUGGGUUAAGUCCCGCAACGAGCGCAACCCUUAUCCUUUGUUGCCAGCGGU